CAGAAGCUGAAUGAUGGAUUGCGUUGCAUCACUGCAUCAUGUCACGUUGCUGAACAUAAAGAAGAUAUUUUGAAGAAUGCUGGUGAACAAACAGUUGACGUCAGAUGUGUCAUUACUGCAGUAAAUGAACGUGGUGAAGGCUCUCGUCCACAUUACUGUGUUUCUCUUCCUGCUGCUGGUUUUUCAGACUCCUGACAGUGAAAUGGAUUAAAGCAGAUGGUGAUGGAGACUCUUUCAGAUCAAGUGUGUACAUUGAGAACACUGAAGAGAGCAUCAUUAUGAAGUAUUGUCAAAGCGCCAGCCGUUCUCCAAAAUCACCUGCCGUCAAAAGACCAAAACCGUCCCGAGGCUCGUCUAAUCUUCCUGUAGAUUCUUCAUCAUAAAUCAUUUUUAAGAGACCAUCACGGAUCCUCCAGUAGCUCUUAAACACACUUGGAUGAAAUGCACAAUGUUUUCAUCAGCGUCUGGAGCUUCAGUCAGAAUUGACCAUGAGAAGAACAUUUCAUCAGUCCAUCAGUCGUCAUAAUUAAUAAAGAUCUCAAGUCUCAUGAUAACACCAAACUAAAAUACUGCUAAAUAUGCAAAAGCCCAGCCAACAAAUGAAUAUGAACUAAUGACUGUCAAAAGCAAAAAUGCUACAAAAUGCAUCAUAUUUGGUGUGAAAGGGUGAUUUCAAAGAGCAAAACAUACGCUAUUUUUGCCACAAAAUGAGUAAGAAACAAGUGCUGAAUUUCGUUCAUAAGUAGCACAGGUAUAUUUGUAGCAAUAGACAACAAUACAUUAUAUGGAUCACAAUUAUACAUUUCUCUUUCAUGCCAAAAAUC
ensembl:lncRNA